rnacentral:other from 1 species
CGUCCUCUGCCGUGUGCGACAGCGUGCCUAACAUUCGCCUUGUCCCAUACACACGACACGGGAAUCCAUGACCGGCGCGGUGUGCAUGUCCGUCCCGUGCGGAAAGCCUGAAGCGCCGGCCGCGGGUACCCACUUGAUCCUCGGGAUCAAGGUCGUUUCGCGCGCAUCGGCAUGGUGGAGGGCCU